UCCAAUAUAUGUCCCUUGUUAUGUGUAACAAUAUGGCGACUCCCUCCUCCUUUCUUGUGCAGUCUAGCUUCACUCACAAAAUUAAAGUUAGGAGGAGUUGACUCGAUAAGAACUGCUGCACUGUUAUCUUGCCCCAGCCAUGUUUCAGUUAAAAACAUAAAAU